UACAGAGGGUGCAAGCGUUGUUCGGAAUUAUUGGGCGUAAAGCGCGUGUAGGCGGCUUUGCAAGUCGGGUGUGAAAGCCCUCAGCUCAACUGAGGAAGUGCGCCCGAAACUGCAGAGCUUGAGUACCGGAGAGGGUGGCGGAAUUCCCCAAGUAGAGGUGAAAUGCGUAGAGAUCCGGAGGAACCCCAGAGGCGAAGGCGGCGCUCUGGCUCGCAACUGACGCUCAGACACGACAGCAUGGGGAGCGAACGGG
rnacentral:rRNA from 1 species